AUAACCCAGCCCCGCGCUCCGCCUCUCCGCGCCGCGCUCUGCCCCGUCUCCUGCUCCCCCGCCUCCUGCUCCGCCGGCCGCCUCCUGCCCUGCCUCGUCGCGGUCCGCCGGCGGACUCCUGUCCCUCCCCGCCUCGCCGCGCUGCGCCGGCUUCCUUCUGCUCCGCCCCGCCUCACCGUGCUCCGCCGCCCGCCUCCUGCCCUGCCUCGCCUCGCUCCGCCGACGGCCUCCUGCCCCGCCCUGCCUUGCCACUCUCUGCCGGGAACCUCCUGCGCCGCCCCGUCUAACCAUGCUCCGCCGGCCACCUCCUGCCUACCACCCUGGAGAACGGCGACAGGCGGCUGCCAACGGACGGAUACAGGCGGAGGAGGGUCAGAGAGGCGCGCAGAAGGCCAAUGAAGUUGGGGGCCACCGGAUCCAGAGUUCGGGAUGGCGCCAUGGUUGCUCGGUGAGCUCCUGCAAGGGAACAUGGUGGGGCGCGAUUUAAAGGGAGAUGUGAGAGAGAAGGAAAAGGGGGUGGGGCAGAGAUUCUGCUGCUCACCGGCGAAUAUCGAGCGCUUGGGCGCCAUGCGCGGCUGCGGGCGAUUGUGGACACAGCCUUAGGCAAGCCGUUGCUGCUUUCGAGUGCGAGUGUCGCUCCGUCGGGUCCGACGGAUGAAGGAUUAGCGGAGGGGCGGGCUGUGGAGACUUCUGGGAGGCUAGUGGAGGCAUUGGCCUUGUCGGAAGGCCGGAGGAGCCGACCGGUGGCGGCUCGCCAUGGCUGCACUGCACGGGAGUGGAGGCAGGCGUUCGAUGGCCAGUCCUUGUGGAUGCAGAUGAGACCCAGCCAUGAUGAACAAAUAGCAGCAAACUGUGUUGGUCUUUUCCUCCUAUCUGAAUUUUCUGCAGAUGGGAUCCAGCCGUGAUAAACAAACAGCAGUAGGCCGUGCUGCUCUUUUAUCUAUCUAAAUUUUGUGCAACUCAGAUCCACCAAGGAGAGAUGGAUGAGGCCGUGCUGCUCCUUUUAUCUAUCUCAAUUGCUAUAUGAAAAGCUCUGAAUUUCCAAUCAGCCAUGGGGGACCGAUCAGAAGCGAGGUCCUUGUUGCUCGUGUCUUCUUCAGCUUGCCAGCGACAGGCAGGAAUCCGGUCAGUGGCCGCUACAUAAGUACAGAUUACGGAAGAGACCUAAGUCCGACCACCGCCCAGCUCCCAGCUACUCGCUACAAUUCGCACAUCCACCUCAACUUGGAUAAGCGCUCCAGGCGAGGUGUCCCCAGCUAAGAGCAGAUCGGGAUCCCAUAGGUCCACCUCUCCACGGGCGUUGGAUCUUUGCCCCCCAGCCGUGGCCACUCCUCAGGUUUGCUGGCUAACGUCACGCCGGUUCCAAGGCAGGUUUCUCCUAGGGGAACCUCCUAGGGUGUGUCCUACGAGGUAGAAGUUUCUUGCUCGGUUCCUAUUGUUUGGGAUGAUCCAGAUGAGAUAGUGCAUCAGUUGCUCACAUGAAGAAACCAUCACAAUGAGAUUCCUCUUCUAAUCUGGCAAGUACUAUUCCUACUUGACUGACGAACAUCGUAUCUGUAGUAUCUCUCUUUGUGCACUGUUGGUUAUGUUGUAUUACUUCUGCGUGUUUUUUUUUCAUAUUUUACCAAUGGAUGUUUGUGUUAGGAACUGAUAUUCACUAGCUUUCAUAUUCUGCUUUAGUUUUUGAAUACUGAAAGUGCAUGUCCAAUCUUAAUAAAGACUGGAAUCAAAAUUGUCUCACAGAUGACUGAUUGAUUUUUUUUAGGGAAUUCACAUUAUUCAUAUAUACGAGUAGGUGACAGUAAUAUCCUGAAGUGCAGAGUUGCUGGGCUAAUUUACUAAUGAAACUCACUAUCAUAUGCUUGGAUGUCUUGAUCACCUCAAGGGACAUUAGGGAGCUCAACUCAGGAAUGUUUAUACUAAAGGUGUAGCUAAAGCAACUUCAUGUCUAAAUACUUGAAACUUUGGCUUCCUUCUUGAAACUUUGGCUUCCUUCCUGUGGUCGUAUGUAUUUCGUUCUUAAGGCUUAUUUUUUUUUCAGUUUAGCAACAAAGGUUAGGUAAAGGCACCCAUAGGUACACCGAAACCUGAAAGUUUCUUUCGCUCUCCUCCCUGCAGAUCUAUGCUUAUUUCCCAAUAGAUGUAGCUUCUUAUAUAAUUAAAAGAUCGUAUUCUGAGUGUGUUCGUGUUCUAAAAUCAGUAAUGGUGGUAUCUUGGUAGAACUAAUGCAUUUCAUUAUGAUUUACUAUCUCGACUUAAAAAACAUUGACUGAUUUUACAGCUGAUGUGCACAUAAUAUACUGCCAUACGUUUUGUAGUAUUAUCCUUUUAAGAACAAGUGCCGGUGCUCUGUUUUGCUAAUCAAAAAGGUGCAGUUUAUUAUUGUCC